rnacentral:lncRNA from 1 species
AUAAAUAGAUAUAUGUAUAUAUACAUCUGCAAUAUGAUAAUCUUCACAAAACAUAUAUUAAGGCAUGUAAAGCAACAUAAAGAGCCAGCUUUAUGAAAAAGAGGUGAAAGAGAGGUCGCAGAGGGGCAGACAUUAAUCCUUGGUAUUUCACAUGUAUUUCUAAAAAUAUCACUUAAAAAAAAGACACAAAGAAAGGGAGAAGGCGUGGAAGGACCCCCAAAAUCUGCUUUUUAUGGAUGGACAAGGUGUGGGAGAAGAUGGAGAAGGGAGAGAAGGUUACCGGGGAGCUGAUCCCACCUGUCAGUCUAUGGGGGAGAAAGGACACGUUUGGGGUGCUUGAGCUGUGCUGAAGAUGGGAGAUGCAGCCAAGGGUCACGUUUACAAAAACCUGCUAGAUGUGAGGGUGAGCGAAUCCUCCUGU